UACGAGGGGGGCGAGCGUUGUUCGGAAUUAUUGGGCGUAAAGGGCGCGUAGGCGGGGAGGUAAGUCGGGUGUGAAAUCCCUCGGCCCAACCGAGGAACUGCGCCCGAGACUGCUUCUCUUGAGUCCCGGAGAGGAAGAUGGAAUUCCCGGUGUAGCGGUGAAAUGUGUAGAGAUCGGGAGGAACACCGGUGGCGAAGGCGGUCUUCUGGACGGUGACUGACGCUGAGGCGCGAAAGCGUGGGGAGCAAACGGG
rnacentral:rRNA from 1 species